rnacentral:rRNA from 1 species
AUUACCUACGGGGGGCAGCAGUGGGGGAUAUUGCACAAUGGGGGAAACCCUGAUGCAGCAACGCCGCGUGAGUGAAGAAGGUCUUCGGAUUGUAAAGCUCUGUUCUUGGUGAAGAUAAUGACGGUAGCCAAGGAGAAAGCUCCGGCUAACUACGUGCCAGCAGCCGCGGUAAUACGUAGGUGGCGAGCGUUGUCCGGAAUUACUGGGUGUAAAGGGAGUGUAGGCGGGAAAGCAAGUCAGAAGUGAAAACUAUGGGCUUAACCCAUAGCCUGCUUUUGAAACUGUUUUUCUUGAGUGAAGGAGAG